rnacentral:rRNA from 1 species
GAUGAACGCUGACAGAAUGCUUAACACAUCAGCAAUUGAUUGGUGGCGGACGGGUGAGUAACGCGUAAAGAACUUGCCUCACAGCUAGGGUCAACAUUUGGAAACGAAUGCUAAUACCUAAUCCUGUGAGAGAGCUUUGCGUCCCAUUAGCUAGUUGGAGAGGUAACGGCUCACCAAGGCGAUGAUGGGUAGCCGGCCUGAGAGGGUGAUCGGCCACAAGGGGACUGAGAGACGGCACUGACGACUACGGGAGGAAGCAGUGGAGAAUAAUGGAGAAUGGACGAAAGUCUGAGCAAGCAAUUGUGUGGGAACGAUGAAGUUUUCGGAAUGUAAAGUGCUUUCAGAUGGGAAGCGGAACCAAAAGAAGAAGAGAGGGCUAAAUACGUGCCAGCAGCCGCGGUAUAC